UAUUUAAUAUUAACAGCAAAUUGUGAAUAUUUAUGAUUUUUAUCGACCAGACUGUAAGGAUGGUUUCUUUUCAUCUCAGGGAGUAACACUGUUUUGUUCAGUAAUUACCAGCCUGUUUCUGGAAAGUUUGAGCACUUUACCCACAAACCAACACACCUAACUCUAUUUACUUAAUAUCUCUUUGCCAGGCUCCCUUGAGACAUAACGCAAGCCAUCUAACAAUGAAAACAGCUGCAGCUUAUAAUGAACAUUUGGUUGAAGUUGGGCCAAAGAGAAGCAGAUGUAUGAAUGAUUAUGGCAGCAGAAAGAAGGGAGCCACAGGGAGUUGGAAAAAAGUGCCUGAUAUAGCAAUCCACUCAGAGCUGGGGGCCUUUGUGACUAAAGAGCUCAUCUCACUUUCUUGGCUGUUCAUCACACCCUUGUAUUUAUCCUUUCUAGAGAUUGCUCAUCUUUGGGUAUUUGGGAAUAUUCACUGCUGUUUCACACUCUUCAGCCUUGGAGCACAGACCUGUCUCUCAAAACAAUGUAAGAAAAAAUUCUCUCUCCUUUGCCCCAGUUCCCACUGCCCAUCUGUCUUUUGAACUGCAAUGUUGGCUUGACCCUGCCUGGGGUACAUUUUUCCCGGUAACUUCCCCUCUCCCCUCUCUUGUCUUCAUUUAAUUGAACAGCUAAUCCUUUAAAAUGGGUGUGAGCAGAUGCUGAGGCCACUUGACCCCAAGUCAGUCCAUUCCACUAAAACAUGACAGAAUUUUAAUGGUGCGACAUAUUAAAA
rnacentral:lncRNA from 1 species